rnacentral:rRNA from 1 species
AGUGAACGCUGGCGGUAGGCCUAACACAUGCAAGUCGAACGGCAGCACAGUAAGAGCUUGCUCUUACGGGUGGCGAGUGGCGGACGGGUGAGGAAUACAUCGGAAUCUACUUUUUCGUGGGGGAUAACGUAGGGAAACUUACGCUAAUACCGCAUACGACCUACGGGUGAAAGCAGGGGAUCUUCGGACCUUGCGCGAUUGAAUGAGCCGAUGACGGAUUAGAUAGUUGGCGGGGUAAAGGCCCACCAAGGCGACGAUGCGUAGCUGACCGGAGAGGAUGAGCGGACAGAGUGGAACUGAGACACGGUAGAGAGUAGGACGGGAGGCAGCAGUAGGGAAUCGUCGGCAAUGGGCGGAAGACUGAUGGAGCAACGCCGCGUGAGUGAUGAAGGUCUUCGGAUAGUAAAACUCGGUUAUUAGGGAAGAACAUAUGGGUAAGUAACUGUGGACAUCUUGACGGUACCUAAUCAGAAAGCAACGGCUAACUACGUG